AUGUUUUAUGUGUAUAGUCUCGGGAAUGAAGAAUAGCUGAAAAGGUAUAAAAACGGUUCAUAUUUGUCAAAAACCGAGCACCGAAUCGAGUUCAGGAGUACGAGAGUUGAAACAGAACAAAAAACGAGGAAAAUCACCUGGCCGCGUCACGCGACCAGGUAUAGGCCUUUUCCCCGCGCGACGCGAGGAUAGAUCAUUGGUUUGCAGCAGAAAGCACACGUCACGCCGCACAUUGUUAGAUCCAUAUGCUCCCUGUGCGACGCAGGGAGCUCUUUUCCACAAAAAGUUUCAUCCUGUUGAUGGGUUUUGAGCCGGUUAUAAGUAUAAAAACAUCCUCAACUUGAAGAAAUCAUAACCCUACGAAUUUAAGAACACUUUGGAUGAAAUUUGGAGAACUUGGAACAAAAGUCGAAGGUUUUCAAGCAUCAGUUGAAGAUUCAAAAGUCGGGGAUCAAGUCGGCUCGUGAAUAAUCAUUUGGGUUCCUUCGUUCUUCUACUUUCCUUGAUUUAAACCAUGUUUUGAACUUUCUACUUAUUCUUUGUUUAUAUUCACAUGACGAUUAUGGGCUAAAUAACUACCUAGACUUGGAUGAAUAAUUAACAAAGUUUGGAUUUUUAUUAGUCGUGACUACGUUUAUGGUUUUGUUAAUGAAGUAAGAAACUUGGAAUAUUAUUUUGUUGUGUAUGAUUAUCUUGACUUGUUUGAUUUCACGUUUAUCGCUCCCACACGUAUCUUGAUGAAUGUCUUUCAUGUAAUAGGUUCGUGUUAGAUUAAUUGCAUUUGUGUUUAUAGUCUUUAUGGUUAAUUGGCCAAUACAUCGUAGGAAGUAAUUUCGUGACUCGAGUACGUCUAGGUGGUUAACUAAUCUUAAAAUCCUUAAGGGGAGAGAUUAUCGGUUUGUCUAGGUUGUUAGAUCACUAAAGUUAGGAUCUUUGAAAAAAGAUCAAUUUAGUUAACCUUUCAAUUCUUGCUAACCGAGUCAAACUAAUUUAUAAACCUUAGAUUAUUGCACCAUGAGGGUAAUUAUCAUAUUAAAGUACCUAGUUAACAUAAUUGGAAAUCCGGGUAAUUUAACAUCUUGCUAGGUUUCCAUAGGUGUCUUCCUGAGAAGGGUUGGGGGGUCCUGUUCGGUUACUUAGUGGGUUUAGUAUCUCAAGAUCCUGGUUUCAUAGUUUAGUCACGCCAGUAGAAUUCCAUUCUGAGUUGUUUAGGAUUCUAGUCUAGGUAGUUGUUUCAUCAUCAUCUGAGUAAAACUUCAAAGUUUAGUUUGCGUCUUCAUUCGUUCGUCUAGUUAGUAUUUAAUUUAAUUGCAAUUUUAGGAAUUUAGAAAAACUCCCCCUUAAAACAUAAAAAUAAAUAGCCGUGUCAGUCAUUAGGUCUAGUUAGUCUAUUUUACGUAAUUUAAAGAUUCUCAUGGGCUCGAUUUCCGGACUUACUUAGCUUACUACAGUCGAUCGGUUCGCUUGCCAGUUAGUCGUUAGUUGAGUUUUAGAGAGUCUAGACUCUAGAGUAUAACCUUGAGUCUAGAUUAGGUUAACUUAGUCGUUAAAUAAUAAACUACUUUUAACACAUUGAUGCGUGUUGGUGUGUAUAUAAUUUAGAUGUAUAUUUAAGCCCCUUUUUACACUUUUAACCAAGUUUUAAAUUUAUAAAACACGAUAUUUACUAACACUAAACACACAUAUGGGCAAGUGCACCCAUCGUGGACGUAGUAUAGUGUUGGUAAGAUACCGAGGUCGUCCAAUGACACAAGAGCUUUUAAUACCGGUUUAUCCUCAACGUCUAAUCAAAUCAAAAAGUAAGAAAAAUGUUUUAAUCUAAGAAAAAUAAAAACUAACUAAAUGCUGAAAAAUAAAAUAAAAUAAAAACAGAUAGACAAGAUGAAUCACUUGGAUCCGACACGUGUGUUAGUAUAACCUUUGAUUAUUUUCGCACUUUUGCACUUGUUUAAGAGAUUAUCUUAGUUAUUGUAGUAGGCCCCUCUUUUGAAGGCGACGUUACCCUCAACCCAGUAGUUUGACUCAGCAAGGAUACAAUCCUAAAGGGUCGGAUUAUUGAAAGAUAAUGAAUUAAGUUAUUAAUGCAAAUUGUGGUAGGCCCCGCUUUUGGCGGUGACGUUACCCUCGGCUAAGUAGUCUGAGUCAGCAGGGAUACAGUCCUAAAUAGCCGGGUUAUAGUAUUAAUAGUAGUUAACUUAUGAGGGGGUCAAAGAGUUUGGAUCCCUGCCAUCCAAUACCUAUGGGCAUUGAAGGAGAUCCUACUAAAGUUGACCCAGGUCCCAAGCAGGACCUCUAAACGCUGAACAAGGGCAAGACCCUUACCAAACCGUUCCCUUAACCCCCGACCAGGUAGCCAACAUACCUCGAUAUAGACCGUGGAGAUAUGAAUGGUGAAAAUCUUUUAUUUUAUAUAGACAGUAAAAUAAUGCCAAGACACCACGGACAAACGAUAAGGAAAGAUCACCUUCAACAUAAGUAACUAGUUAUUAAAGUCAUUAAUAC
rnacentral:lncRNA from 1 species